AUGCAUAGAAUUAUUUUUCCCAUGCAUGGAGACGUUGGACACCAUUCUCUUGGGGCUCCUGCCGGACGCUUGGGUCUUCGAGAUGAGGAUGGCCUCGGCUAUGACGCUGACCCCGGAGACGACGCCGGCGGCGUGGGCGUUGAUGUCAGGAAUGAACGGUCGGUGUUGAUACCGCGCCAUGGCGUGAAGACACAGUGGCCGCAAGCCCGCAACCCAAGAGCGACGUCGGCAUCAACAUCAACAGGAUGUCCUCCACCGUGGAUUACAUCAAACUUUGUUCGUCUCGGGGCUACUGUUGGAUGCCUUGGUCUUGGCGAUGAGCAGGGUCUCUGCUGGGACACCGGCCGCAUGGACGUGGAUGUCGAGGAGGGAGGGGUAGGUGUCCCAAGGCAUGAAGGCGCAGUGGCUGCAGUCCACGAGGGCCAUCGGCAGCAUCAGCAUGAUGUCCUCCACCAUGGAUUGCAUUGUACUAUUGUCAAGUGA
rnacentral:rRNA from 1 species